AUACAGGCCUUAGAGACCGGGGAUAGAUAUCCCGUUAUUCCUGAGCGUAAAUUUUUUCUGCCUGGGUACUACGAGCUUUGGCUUAAAACUCAAAGAACUUGGCGGUGCUCUAAAUCCUGUCAGAGGAGCUUGACGCUUAAUUCGAUGGUCCACGAACACCUUACCCCCUCUUGAAUCUUUUAACAGUUCGCAUACCGUCGUUGGCAGUUUUCACUGCGAGGGUACAGGAGAUUGCGGAAAUCAACCAGCAGAUAACCUGGUCUUGGUAACUUCAGAUAAACGUGUGGCCCAUGAGGGGGGGUUAGUUUGGCUACAAUUCUAAUAGAAAUACGGAUCGGCUGUUGAAACACGGCGGGGUUGAAGGCGGAUUUGACAGUAAGCUUCUCGAGUAAAAGGGGCUGAACGCGUAUACUGGGGUGCGUACAAACCGCCCGUCACUCCCGGCAAUAGAAGAAACUGGGAU
rnacentral:rRNA from 1 species